rnacentral:rRNA from 1 species
UGGAAUAGGACCCUGUCCUCCUAUUUUCAGUUGGUUUUGGCAGCGCGAGGACUAGGGUAAUGAUUAAUAGGGAUAGUUGGGGGCAUUAAUAUUUAAUUGUCAGAGGUGAAAUUCUUGGAUUUAUGAAAGAUUAACUUCUGCGAAAGCAUCUGCCAAGGAUGUUUUCAUUAAUCAAGAACGAAAGUUAGGGGAUCGAAGACGAUCAGAGACCGUNGUAGUCUUAACCAUAAACGAUGCCGACCAGCGAUUAGGAGACGUUGAAUACAAAACACCACCAUCGGUGCGGUCGUCCUUGGCGUCUCGGUUUCGGCCGGGGUGCGGGGACGGCUUAGCCCGGUGGCACCGGUGAAUGACUCCCCUAGCAGCUU